GGGCAUGCCUAACCUGGCAGUCGAGCGAGCUUGCCUAGAUGAUUUUAGUGCUUGCACUAAAUGAAACUAGAUACAAGCGAGCGGCGGACGGGUGAGUAACACGUGGGUAACCUGCCCAAGAGACUGGGAUAACACCUGGAAACAGAUGCUAAUACCGGAUAACAACACUAGACGCAUGUCUAGAGUUUGAAAGAUGGUUCUGCUAUCACUCUUGGAUGGACCUGCGGUGCAUUAGCUAGUUGGUAAGGUAACGGCUUACCAAGGCAAUGAUGCAUAGCCGAGUUGAGAGACUGAUCGGCCACAUUGGGACUGAGACACGGCCCAAACUCCUACGGGAGGCAGCAGUAGGGAAUCUUCCACAAUGGACGAAAGUCUGAUGGAGCAACGCCGCGUGAGUGAAGAAGGGUUUCGGCUCGUAAAGCUCUGUUGGUAGUGAAGAAAGAUAGAGGUAGUAACUGGCCUUUAUUUGACGGUAAUUACUUAGAAAGUCACGGCUAACUACGUGCCAGCAGCCGCGGUAAUACGUAGGUGGCAAGCGUUGUCCGGAUUUAUUGGGCGUAAAGCGAGUGCAGGCGGUUCAAUAAGUCUGAUGUGAAAGCCUUCGGCUCAACCGGAGAAUUGCAUCAGAAGCUGUUGAACUUGAGUGCAGAAGAGGAGAGUGGAACUCCAUGUGUAGCGGUGGAAUGCGUAGAUAUAUGGAAGAACACCAGUGGCGAAGGCGGCUCUCUGGUCUGCAACUGACGCUGAGGCUCGAAAGCAUGGGUAGCGAACAGGAUUAGAUACCCUGGUAGUCCAUGCCG
rnacentral:rRNA from 1 species